rnacentral:rRNA from 1 species
GCUGUUGGAAACGACAGGUAAUACCAUAUAUUCCCUAAGGGGGAAAGAUUUUAUCGAAAGAUAUAUUGCUAUUAGAUGAGCCUGCGUUAGAUUAGCUUGUUGGUAAGGUAAUGGCUUACCAAGGCUAUGAUCUAUAGUUGGUCUGAGAGGAUGAUCAGCCACACUGGAACUGAGAUACGGUCCAGACUCCUACGGGAGGCAGCAGUGGGGAAUAUUGGACAAUGGGCGAAAGCCUGAUCCAGCCAUGCCGCAUGAGUGAAGAAGGCCUUAGGGUUGUAAAACUCUUUUAGUGGGGAAGAUAAUGACGGUACCCACAGAAGAAGUCCCGGCAAACUCCGUGCCAGCAGCCGCGGUAAUACGGAGGGGGCAAGCGUUGUUCGGAAUUAUUGGGCGUAAAGAGCACGUAGGCGGUUUAGUAAGUUAAAAGUGAAAUGCCAAGGCUUAACCUUGGAACUGCUUUUAAUACUGCUAGGCUAGAGAUCGAA